CGUCUGCCUGGGCGUCACACAUCUUGUUGCCCCUGCUAUCUAUCCCUUGAGGGAUAUUUGAGAGAGGGGCGGAGAUUGGUCUCCCAUGCCAAUGGCAUGGUUGGCCUAAAUAGGAGUCCUGUCAAGAUGGAUACAUGACUAGUGGUGGUUUGAUAAGACAGUUGU
rnacentral:rRNA from 1 species